UUCCGUUCUAAUUGAGGGAUUAGGAUUUUCCCCACCCUAGGCCUACUCGUUUGGAAAAGUUUUCUGAUUCUGAAAAUAGGCACGAGGGCUAGUCUGGAAUGCUUGGAUUACAUCAUCCGUUAUGAUAUCAUCAUCACUGGGUGACUUUGGCACGUUACCGAACCGAACGGGUGAAGUCAGGCGGAAUAUUUGCCGUCGCUGCCCAGUGCAAACCAUUUAAAAACAGAGCUUCGGGGUCACUGUAUAGCCUACGUACGGACAACUUUUAUCCCUCCAUCCUCUCUCCUUUCCUUUUAUUAUUUGUCUCUUCAAGGGGACAGUCGAGAGAGGGUGACGUCUUCGUUUAAAAAAAAAGAAAAUGAAGAGGAAAAAAAGAGAAUGGAAGCCUGUGUUUUUCUCUUGGGGUACAUCAUAAUGAUUUGAUUUACUGGCGGUCAUUUGAUCAACAUCGUACGCUCCGCUCCCUAAACACACACUCCUCCACGAGAAAGUAGACGCGCGCAAGAAGGCGCAGGCUGCCGGACAUCUCGAGGCUGGAAUCACAUUUAUUCUCAUUAGACUGCGAUAGUGUCAGCUGGAGGCAGGGGAGGCGCGUGCCAGGGUCGUAAAAACUACCUCACUACCUUUUCCCGCCAUUACCUCAUACCGAUCACAUCACACCCAGUCAGUCCUCCUCCAGUCAACGCCGAGGCUGCACGCCGCCUAUGUUUUUAAUGUUCAAUCGCUUUUCUUUUUUUGUCUUUUUGCCAGUCAGAUCUACCGGCUGCUUGUCAAACUAUACUCGUAAACAUUAAAAAAGAAAAUGGUCUGUUGUCAACCUUCAAACAUAAAGCAGUUUUCAACAGGUUUUGAGGUUGGCAGAGGUCAAUAGAGAUGGCUCCACGAGAUGAACUGGCUCUCUCCCCUGAGACAUGCGUUCUCAGCGAGGCCCAGUGAUAGAUGAAGUGUGCGAGAGAUUGGUUUGGGCCCGUGUUCAAUCAAACUUCAUGUCUUACAUUACAGUGGAUGAGGUACGGGUACUUGAUGGGAGCUGUUUUAUGUACUACAGGCCAUGGAGCUUGGCAUUGUUUGCGCUGGGGAGUGUUUAGUAGCUAUUAAAAUGAAGAUUAUUUUUUCAUUUUGCAUGUCGUAAAUCCAGUAUAAGGUUAGAUGGAAAUGAAUGACAGAUCUGUCGUUUUGCCACAAAACCCUCCAAUAUCCAGUUCUCUAUCCAUAAUAUUGAUUUCGCCAGUGAAGCUGCCUCAUUUGAGAGAAAUUUCAGUGGAUUCAAACACCAACAAACAAGCAACACUGACGAUUGCAAUCACCACUGAUUUGGAGGCCCAGCUCUCCACCCCCACUCUCGUCUCCUGGACGCACUCCAUCCCAGAAACCCUUGGGGCUCCAGAUGGGUGUACUGGAUGUCGUGAAGGGGAGAAAAGGACAGAGGAGCUGUCCAAAACCUCCUGCUCCCCUGCCUGGCCCAGUCUGGAGAGAGUUAGUGCCAUCCCAAUGGAUCAGGUCAAGCAGCCCUUUUGUGCUGAUCCAGGAUCUGCUGGGUUUAUUUGAAUCUUCACCUAAUACACUUGAAGAGGAGACACAAGACUGAUCACAAAACUAUUUCAGGCAAACCCUUGUUGUACAGCUUAAUAAGAAAGAGAGAACAGACUGAGGGACUCGCUCGUCGUGUCUAGAAACCUGGCGGUCCACUCAGGACAUCUUAGCAGCUGCAUACCAACAUACUAGAAAACACUCAAAACACCUUUGUGACCUCAUAGCAACGCCCUGGCAACCAUCCACAACGCAUUAGCACCGUGGCAGCGACUUCUGCAAAUGCAAGCGUUAGUUUGCCUUCAUUGUUGUCUUCUUUGUCCAUUUUUUCCAUCUCUCUUUCUCUCUUCCUCACUCUCUCUUAUAUCAUUCUGGCUCGGAUGAGUGAAGCAGCACCUUCUCUGUUAGGGAGUGUGGAGAGAGGAAGAGAGAGAGAGAGAAAGGGAUGCAGGGAAGGAGAGAGUGGGAGGUGGGGGGGGGGGUGCAGUGAUGACACUGCAUGGUGAAGUCAUACUCCAUGACAUCAUCCUCUGGAGCGGAGCCAGCUCUCUCUCUCUCUCGUCCUCAAUCUCUUUCUCCCUCUUAACACACUCUUUCAGAAGGAGCAGGAGUAAAACUCUAGGAGCCCUUUGUUCCCACAAUCCCCCACCACAAACAGCAGCCCCCUCCCUCCAGCACUCUGUCUCUGUCUCCCAGUCUUUCUCUCUCUCUCUCUCUCUCUCUCUCUCUGUCUGUCUGUCCAUCCGUCCAUCUCUUGUAGAGCCUCAGGGCUUGUGCUUGUAGAUGAGUUCUGGCUGCAGCACGAUCGAUACAAACCCGGCAAGUUGUGUGUCCCUGGUUCCCCUCCGUCUACACACACAGACACUGUUCAUUUACUACUCGCUUUUAUUCAACAUGUGGUUCAGCGCUCGGCAGUUUUUGAAAUGGACAUGGACUUUCUUUGUUAAUGAAAUGUAUGUUUCAUGCCUCACUUUUCUGGUAAUGUGAGUAGAGCUUGCCAGUGCAAAAGCCACCACCACAAUGCAAGGGCGUUGCUAAAGCGUUCUGAGUGGCUAAAGGGCACUUGCUUGCAAGUAUAUUCCGGGUGGUCGCAUAUGGUCCAGACAUAUGAGCCAGAGUCUUUAGGAUUGUUUCAGACAAAAAUUGAAUGUCUGGUCACUUAGAAAUGCAUCUAACAAGCUGCUUGAUUCAUAUAUGUAGCACAAGUGGUUCAGGGCAAGUUACACACCUAAGUUAAAGGUAACGUUACUUGUUAAAUUUACACUAUAAUGGUCGAGGUAUUUGAGCAAAUAAGUGAAUAACUCAAUUUAUUUAUUUACUAAGCAAUACAACUGAAAACCUGUCUGUUUGCCAUUAUAGAUUUUUCUUUCUGUUGA